rnacentral:rRNA from 1 species
GAUGAACGCUGGCGGCGUGCUUAACACAUGCAAGUCGAACGGGAUCCCAGGAGCUUGCUCCUGGGUGAGAGUGGCGAACGGGUGAGUAAUGCGUGACCGACCUGCCCCAUACACCGGAAUAGCUCCUGGAAACGGGUGGUAAUGCCGGAUGCUCCAGUUGACCGCAUGGCCCUCUGGGAAAGAUUCAUCGGUAUGGGAUGGGGUCGCGUCCUAUCAGCUUGAUGGCGGGGUAACGGCCCACCAUGGCUUCGACGGGUAGCCGGCCUGAGAGGGCGACCGGCCACAUUGGGACUGAGAUACGGCCCAGACUCCUACGGGAGGCAGCAGUGGGGAAUAUUGCACAAUGGGCGCAAGCCUGAUGCAGCGACGCCGCGUGCGGGAUGACGGCCUUCGGGUUGUAAACCGCUUUUGACUGGGAGCAAGCCCUUCGGGGUGAGUGUACCUUUCGAAUAAGCA